rnacentral:rRNA from 1 species
CAGCCGCCGCGGUAAUACGAAGGGGGCUAGCGUUGCUCGGAAUUACUGGGCGUAAAGGGCGCGUAGGCGGACAGUUUAGUCGGGGGUGAAAGCCCGGGGCUCAACCUCGGAAUUGCCUUCGAUACUGGCUGUCUUGAGUGUGAGAGAGGUGUGUGGAACUCCGAGUGUAGAGGUGAAAUUCGUAGAUAUUCGGAAGAACACCAGUGGCGAAGGCGACACACUGGCUCACUACUGACGCUGAGGCGCGAAAGCGUGGGGAGCAAACAGGAUUAGAUACCCCCGUAGUCCCUGUCUCUUAUAC